ACUCCUACGGGAGGCAGCAGUGGGGAAUUUUGCGCAAUGGGCGAAAGCCUGACGCAGCAACGCCGCGUGAGUGAUGAAGGCUUUCGGGUCGUAAAGCUCUGUCAGGGGGAAAGAAGUGUAUUGUGGCUAAUAUCCACGAUACUUGACGGUACCCCCAAAGGAAGCACCGGCUAACUCCGUGCCAGCAGCCGCGGUAAUACGGGGGGUGCAAGCGUUGUUCGGAAUUAUUGGGCGUAAAGCGCGUGUAGGCGGUUUGUUUAGUCUGAUGUGAAAGCCCUGGGCUCAACCCAGGAAGUGCAUUGGAAACUGGCAGACUUGAAUACGGGAGAGGGUAGUGGAAUUCCUAGUGUAGGAGUGAAAUCCGUAGAUAUUAGGAGGAACACCGGUGGCGAAGGCGGCUGCCUGGACCGAUAUUGACGCUGAGACGCGAAAGCGUGGGUAGCAAACAGGAUUAGAUACCCUGGUAGUCCACGCCGUAAACGAUGAGAACUAGGUGUCGCGGGUA
rnacentral:rRNA from 1 species